GUGCCAAGCAGCCGCGGUAAUUCCAGCUCCAAUAGCGUAUAUAAAAGUUGUGCAGUUUAAAAAGCUCGUAGUUGAACCUUGGGUCUGGCUGGCCGGUCCGCCUCACCGCGUGUACUGGUCCGGCCGGACCUUUCCUUCUGGGGAGCCGCAUGCCCUUCACUGGGCGUGUCGGGGAACCAGGACUUUUACUUUGAAAAAAUUAGAGUGUUCAAAGCAGGCCUUUGCUCGAAUACAUUAGCAUGGAAUAAUAGAAUAGGACGUGCGGUUCUAUUUUGUUGGUUUCUAGGACCGCCGUAAUGAUUAAUAGGGAUAGUCGGGGGCAUCCGUAUUCAAUUGUCAGAGGUGAAAUUCUUGGAUUUAUUGAAGACGAACUACUGCGAAAGCAUUUGCCAAGGAUGUUUUCGUUAAUCAGUGAACGAAAGUUAGGGGAUCGAAGACGAUCAGAUACCGUCGUAGUCUUAACCAUAAACUAUGCCGACUCGGGAUCGGUGGGCGUUACUAUUUUGACUCCAUCGGCACCGUACGAGAAAUCAAAGUUUUUGGGUUCUGGGGGGAGUAUGGUCGCAAGGCUGAAACUUAAAGAAAUUGACGGAAGGGCACCACCAGGCGUGGAGCCUGCGGCUUAAUUUGACUCAACACGGGGAAACUCACCAGGUCCAGACACAAUAAGGAUUGACAGAUUGAGAGCUCUUUCUUGAUUUUGUGGGUGGUGGUGCAUGGCCGUUCUUAGUUGGUGGAGUGAUUUGUCUGCUUAAUUGCGAUAACGAACGAGACCUUAACCUGCUAAAUAGCCCGGCCCGCUUUGGCGGGUCGCCGGCUUUCUAGAGGGACUAUCGGCUCAAGCCGAUGGAAGUUUGAGGCAAUAACAGGUCUGUGAUGCCC
rnacentral:rRNA from 1 species